UUGGAUUAGGGAAAGAGAAUCUGAUACCUCGUUGUCAAAAUCAAAGUAGAAGAAGUAUUCUAAGCCCACUCUAACAUCAACAUCCAUCCUCCAUUCCCUCGCCUAACAAGAAAACUUACCAUCUUUUUUCACCUAAUUUCAUUUUAUCCAAAAUCCCACAUUGAAAUUAUCGUAUCAGAAUGAUGGGAGCUCAGUUGAGGAUCCGACCCGUCGCGGGAAUUUUAACGGAUCUAGCGGACACUAGGCGGUGGAGUUCCAGUUCGCACUGUUACUCCCCGAUUCGGAAUAUUUCGCAUCAUUUAUCUUCUAGAAAUAGGCAUUGUAGAAAGACGAGAUUGAUGGUGAUUUGUAGCAAGUCAUCACGUGGACGCUUUAAUGGGAAAUCCAAUCAGAGUGAUGAACGUGAUGAUGAUGAUGAUUAUAUUGAAGCCGUCCUUCUCGUUUCAGAGACAACGAGGCACUACAAAAUGCGUAUGCAUGGAUUUCAAGAAGAACCAAGAUGGCACUCAUCUGCUCACUUGGCUCCCUUUUCUUUUCACCCCAAGGAUCGUAUCGCUGAUGCAUCAUCUUUAGGGACAGGAUUUCUUCGCCGUUUCAAGAAUCCAACUAUUUUUCUUAAGAUUUCUUGUGAUGCAGAAUAUGUCUUACCAGUUAUUGUUGGUGAACAUGCUGUCAAAAAAUUGAUAGAUUCAUUGCACGAGGAGGAGGCUGAGGAUUACCCCGACCAGUUCCUGCUUUUGAGGAAUCUAUUGGCGAAAUUUGGCUAUGAAGUUAAAAUGGUGAGGAUUACCGAAAGAGUGACUAGUACUUACUUUGCCAGAAUAUAUUUCCAAAAGCCAGGGGAAAAAGAUAUUAUUAAUGUGGAUGCUCGUCCUUCAGAUGCCAUUAAUGUUGCCAGAAGAUGUAAGGCACCAAUUUUUGUAAAUAAGCAAAUUGUCUUGACUGAUGCAACGAGGAUAGGUUAUGGAAUGGACCGAUCUAGCAGAAUUAAGUCCACGUAUGAUGUAUUAUUAGAUAGACUGUCUGGCGCAGUGCAUCAGAUGGCCCCGAUUUACUUUCAGAAGAACUUAGUAUGUUGAGAAAUAUGAACUUAGCAGCGAAUGAGGAGAGGUACAAUGAUGCAGCUAUGUGGAAGGACAAACUGAUGAGACUUCGUGAGAAGACAUGAGAUCUAAAUCUUUCUCCAGAAAUAAAAUGUAAAUAUUCCAUCUGGAUUCGACGAUAAAGGAUGGCAGCUACGACACAGCGCUGUAUUUCAACUUUUCAACAACAUACUAACAAAAGUUUCAAGGAAUCAAUAAUCUACAGGGAAGUUCGAAAAUUAUUGUUGUGUACAGGUUUCCCUUGUGUCGGUUGGCUUUUUAUCUAGCUAACCGCGACAAUGCAACCUCUAGGUAAAACUGUAUAUAGUUUAUUUGCUGAAGAAUAUAUCAAGUCUGUGAGAAUAGCAUGUACAGAAAAGACGAGAAUUUGUUUAGACCAAAUCAUCUCGUGUAACAGAUAUUGCAAAUAUGGUAUGCCUUAAAAGCCAUGUGGGGGAUAUAUUACCAUGGCAUACAGACGGUGUCUUUCCUUUGGCUCUUUGAUGGCAACCAUCUCCACUCAUAGAUUGCUGUAUAAAGUUAAAGAAAGGGGCUUGGCUAUGCUGAACUGUAUUGUAGAGAAGGCUUACGUGAAUCUGAUCAAUGUACAUAUUAUGUUUUUUGA